rnacentral:rRNA from 1 species
UACAGAGGGUGCGAGCGUUGUCCGGAAUUACUGGGCGUAAAGGGCGCGUAGGCGGCUUGGUAAGUCGGCUGUGAAAGUCCAGGGCUCAACCCUGGGAUGCCGGUCGAUACUGCCGGACUAGAGUUCGGAAGAGGCGAGUGGAAUUCCCGGUGUAGCGGUGAAAUGCGCAGAUACCGGGAGGAACACCUAUGGCGAAGGCAGCUCGCUGGGACGUUACUGACGCUGAGACGCGAAAGCGUGGGGAGCAAACAGG